rnacentral:rRNA from 1 species
GUCGAGAAUCAUUCGCAAUGGGCGCAAGCCUGACGAUGCGACGCCGCGUGAGCGAUGAAGGCCCUCGGGUUGUAAAGCUCUUUCGCCUGGGAACAAGGAAAGCUGGCUAAUACCCAGUUACUUGAGGGUACCAGGUAAAGAAGCACCGGCUAACUCCGUGCCAGCAGCUGCGGUAAUACGGAGGGUGCAAGCAUUAAUCGGAUUUAUUGGGCGUAAAGGGCGCGUAGGCGGGAAGGUAAGUCAUAUGUGAAAUCCCGGGGCUCAACCUCGGACCCGCAUGUGAAACUGCCUUUCUUGAGGGUAGGCGGAGAAAACGGAAUUCCACAAGUAGCGGUGAAAUGCGUAGAUAUGUGGAAGAACACCGGUGGCGAAAGCGGUUUUCUAGCUUAUUCCUGACGCUGAGGCGCGAAAGCAAGGGGAGCAAACAGGAUUAGAAACCCUGGUAGUCC